rnacentral:rRNA from 1 species
AUGAAUGUUGCUGAGAAGGAGAUCUUAAGAGCCGAUAAUGUUCACGAAGCUGCACAAGAGAUGUUCAAAAUAAUUCAGCUCAGGGGCCGCAUAUUCUGCCUUGAUUGUUGGGAUGGAUUUGGGGCCUCUGCUGUUCUUAGAUACAUGGCGGCAAUGCUUCCAUCCAGGAGAAACAUUCCGGAACUAUGCUUUGACAGAAUAAUUUUCAUAGAUUGCUCAAAGUGGAAUAACAGGAGAGCGGUGCAGAGAGCAAUUGCACAGGAACUGACACUUGACCGCUCUAUAAUGGCUACUCUAGAUAAGCAAGACGAAGAGGAUGAUUUUAAGGGAAUUGGUGAAAGCUCGAGGAAUGAGAUAGGCAGUGUUGCACAAGUGAUUGAGCAAACCCUGACUGGCACCAAAUUUAUGAUGUUUUUUCUCAAUGGAAGUGAUGACGAGGUUGACAUUGGUUCGUUUGGCAUUCCUCUUACAAGGUUUGGUAAAAACAUGAUGAUAUGGACCUUCAACAGGUGCUGCUUGACAAUGCAUCGCCAUGUUGACCGUCUUUCGAUAUCAAGCAAUCUAAGAUAUACUCAUGUUUUCAUAUAUUCAUUCCGGGGAGCUCGCUCAUUAAUAGCUUAUGAGUUUCAAGAACUACUUCAUCAACAAUGUGCCACCAUAGUUGCUCGAAGUCCAUCUAUGCUAGACAUCAACCCUACAAUGGUUAAAGAAUGUUGCCUCUAUGGGUUAUUUCUUCAUUAUAUUUUUCACAUUUCCACCAAACUUGAUUGGAUCGCUCAUGCUUCCAACUAUUGGAUAUGUGAUGCAAUCAUACAAGGGGACAAAGCAAGGGAUGUUAGUAACACAUUGCAUGGAGAGAUAAAUUGGGAGGGUGAUGCUACUGUGAUUGAUGAGGUGCUUCAGAUGCUCAUGAAAUAUUUUGAGCAUUUAUUUCUGGUAGUUAAAGAUGAUGAUGUCUAUAAGGAAGGGUCAUACCGUUGGAUUUCAGUCACAUCAAAAAAUAUGGAAAUAUGUGGUAUGCAAACUAUUCCUGCAGUGACGUCAUCUCUGUUUUUGGCAUUUGAAAGAUCCGAUCACCCACCAACUCUGCAAAAAGGCUUCUUUGAACAUUCCAACAAGCUUGGUGUGCUAGUUCUCUGUUUCUGUGCCUUCAAUUUUGCAUCACCUCCUUUUCACCAUUGUCAGAACCUCAGAUUCCUUGGAUUGGACCAUUGUACACGUAGCAAAACAUGUGAAGCAGAUAAUCAUCAAGAGUGGGCAUGCUUGUAUAAUCUUUUGGUGCUGGACCUACGCUACACAGAGUGGGAUAAUAUCUUAUCUGAGGAGAAAAUGGAUCUUAUGAAAAGCAUCACAGAACUAAAUAUAGAAGGAGUCAGAUGUUGGCGGUACACAGCUCAGUUACAAGGGAGGCUGCCUAACCUUGAGAGACUCCGAAUAAUCAAACCAACUUGUCAGCAUGAGACAUCAAAUGAUGUUGAUAACUCCUUCAGCAUGAGACAUCAAAUGAUGUCAGCAAGGAGGUUGCCGCGCCCGGCAAGCAAGCUGCCGGGAAGAAGCCAAAGAAUGGACCCAAGCCCGAGACUGAGUGCUUUUAUUGCAAGGGAAGCGGUCACUGGAAGCGGAACUGCCCUAAGUACUUAG